ACCAGUGUGACAUAAUGGUUUGGGUGUUGGACUAGGAUUCUGGAGACCAGGGUUCAAAUCUCUGCUCAGCCA